GCCUCUAACUCAAAUUUAAAACAACCGCGACCAUACGCUGUGAGCCAAACAAAACAGCUUCUAACCACACUCAGCUGGGAUUCAACCCCUGCCUUACAGGCUGGGGAAAACUAAAUCCAAUUCUGAGAAGAGUAAACCAAAAUAACCAGACUUCUGCCUUCCUUAAUCUCCUGUUAAAUUCCUUCCUUCCAGAAAACAGUCUUCAUGCAUGGGUCAGAAAGCUCGGCCAUCAUGUACUCAGAUUCCCUCAUCUUCAAACUCAGCAUCAGAGUGAGCAUGUCCAUCUCGCAACUUGCUGGGCAGGGCCAGGGGAGGUUUGUUCACCCUUAGCAGGCCCUAAGUGUCCUCGGCAUCUGCAAUGGGGUUCUGUCCUUGAUGCCUGACCUGAAUACAGUUGCAGCCCAGCUCACCGUGCAUGGCUCCACCACAGCAGAGGACUACUGAUUUGUGUGGGUCAGAAUACACAGAACUCUCUCUAGCCCGGGAGCUGCUAAAAUGCAUCCACAGUCCAGGGCUGCGUGUUUCAGGUACGGCAACAGCGGGGUAACAGCUGUUUUACUUUAUACUUUUUAUUUUCUUUUUUCCUUUUCCCCCAAGAACUGAGAUAAGCCCUUUCUGGGCAGGACAGCUCCACUGACUUGUUGUGACAGUUCUUGUUCCUUUCACACUGGGUCACACACAGUCACAAGAAAGACGUGACCGUGACCGUGGGGAGAGCAGGAGGGUUGAGGCGACUGCACAGAGAGCUUCCCCUCUCUUCGCUUUUCCAGGGACUUUGCUGAAGCCCACUGUCUUCUCUUUCGUGACUGAGACAAUUUCCCAGUGACAUUCCCAUGACAUUCUGUUCUUGUCUGCACAAAACGCUCUGUGACUGCUGAGAGACCACGUGUUAAUGCAAAAGGGCAACAAUAGGCAAAUGAGAAGACUGAGGUAUGUGGCUCUGCCACAGUCCUGGGGAAGUCACAUGCCUUCUCUGAGCUCAGGUUUUCUGUCCAUAGAAAGGAAACUGGGCAUCAGUUAUUUUCAAA
rnacentral:lncRNA from 1 species